CGGGACGGGUGAGUAAUGUCUGGGAAACUGCCUGAUGGAGGGGGGUAACUACUGGAAACGGUAGCUAAUACCGCAUAACGUCGCAAGACCAAGGAGGGGGACCUUCGGGCCUCUUGCCAUCGGAUGUGCCCAGAUGGGAUUAGCUAGUAGGUGGGGUAACGGCUCACCUAGGCGACGAUCCCUAGCUGGUCUGAGAGGAUGACCAGCCACACUGGAACUGAGACACGGUCCAG
rnacentral:rRNA from 1 species